rnacentral:rRNA from 1 species
UGGGGAAUAUUGGACAAUGGGCGAAAGCCUGAUCCAGCCAUGCCGCGUGAGUGAAGAAGGCCUUAGGGUUGUAAAGCUCUUUCGGCGGGGACGAUAAUGACGGUACCCGCAGAAUAAGCUCCGGCUAACUUCGUGCCUGCAGCCGCGGUAAUACGAAGGGAGCUAGCGUUGUUCGGAAUCACUGGGCGUAAAGCGCACGUAGGCGGAUUGCUAAGUCAGGGGUGAAAUCCCGGGGCUCAACCUCGAAACUGCCUUUGAUACUGACAAUCUAGAGUCCGAUAGAGGUGGGUGGAAUUCCUAGUGUAGAGGUGAAAUUCGUAGAUAUCAAGAGGAACACCUGAGGCGAAGGCGGGUUGCUGGGCCGACACUGACGCUGAUGCGCGAAAGCCAGGGGAGCAAACG